rnacentral:rRNA from 1 species
UCGAGGGGCAGCAUCAUCAAAGCUUGCUUUGAUGGAUGGCGACCGGCGCACGGGUGAGUAACACGUAUCCAACCUGCCGACAACACUGGGAUAGCCUUUCGAAAGAAAGAUUAAUACCGGAUGGCAUAAUUUUCCCGCAUGGGAUGAUUAUUAAAGAAUUUCGGUUGUCGAUGGGGAUGCGUUCCAUUAGGCAGUUGGCGGGGUAACGGCCCACCAAACCUACGAUGGAUAGGGGUUCUGAGAGGAAGGUCCCCCACAUUGGAACUGAGACACGGUCCAAACUCCUACGGGAGGCAGCAGUGAGGAAUAUUGGUCAAUGGACGAGAGUCUGAACCAGCCAAGUAGCGUGAAGGAUGACUGCCCUAUGGGUUGUAAACUUCUUUUAUACGGGAAUAAAGUGAGCCACGUGUGGCUUUUUGUAUGUACCGUAUGAAUAAGGAUCGGCUAACUCCGUGCCAGCAGCCGCGGUAAUACGGAGGAUCCGAGCGUUAUCCGGAUUUAUUGGGUUUAAAGGGAGCGUAGGCGGGUUGUUAAGUCAGUUGUGAAAGUUUGCGGCUCAACCGUAAAAUUGCAGUUGAUACUGGCGACCUUGAGUGCAACAGAGGUAGGCGGAAUUCGUGGUGUAGCGGUGAAAUGCUUAGAUAUCACGAAGAACUCCGAUUGCGAAGGCAGCUUACUGGAUUGUAACUGACGCUGAUGCUCGAAAGUGUGGGUAUCAAACAGGAUUAGAUACCCUGGUAGUCCACACAGUAAACGAUGAAUACUCGCUGUUGGCGAUAUACAGUCAGCGGCCAAGCGAAAGCAUUAAGUAUUCCACCUGGGGAGUACGCCGGCAACGGUGAAACUCAAAGGAAUUGACGGGGGCCCGCACAAGCGGAGGAACAUGUGGUUUAAUUCGAUGAUACGCGAGGAACCUUACCCGGGCUUAAAUUGCAACUGACGGAAUCGGAAACGGUCUUUCUUCGGACAGUUGUGAAGUGCUGCAUGG